rnacentral:lncRNA from 1 species
UCCUUCUGAUGCUCUUCUGUUUUUAGAAAAGGAACCCAGGACUUCUGGGUGAUGUCUGCGGUAUCAUAACAAGAGUCUAAUUCCUCUCCUUCCAGAUCCCCAUUAAAAUAUCCACAGAAAAAUAAGAGGAAAAACUACAUCCAGCGCUGAUACUUGGGCAGGCUGAAAUAUGCAUACCAAACCUCCAGGAAUUUCUGCUCGAUGAGACUGAAGUGAAAGAAGAGGCGAACUCAUGACUCACCCUCCGUGAAAGAGGGGCACUGUGCAGAUUGAAUCCUGGGAGACACAGGCUACAGUUUACUCAUCUUUUCAUCACUCCCGCACAGCCUGGCAAGGUGUCACGAGAUGGAUGCAGGACUCAUAAAAGAUUGAUAGGAAUCAGAUCUGGAUUGGAGAUGUCUCCAGGAUUUCCUGGUUCUCGUACAUGGGAAACAGUAUUUGGCGAACGCCAUCCAGGCACAUCAUAAUAUUAUGGCUUCAGUUGAUUAACCUGUUGUUUGGCUAAAGCACUUUGCCUUUGUUCUUAAGGAAGCAAACUGCUGUUUCACUUCCCUGAAGCCCCUGAUAAUACCAUACAAGAACAUCAGAGAAAAAAUGAAUCCAAGAUAGGUGCCAUCCCCAGGGGAACAGAACACUUCUUUGUUUUAUAUUUCCAUUGGAAAUCUGGAGAUUUUGCAUGCAAACGUCUUAUUUCAUGGCA